rnacentral:rRNA from 1 species
CUACGGAGGGUGCAAGCGUUGUUCGGAAUCACUGGGCGUAAAGGGCGCGCAGGCGGUUUGGUAAGUCAGAUGUGAAAGCCCACGGCUCAACCGUGGAAGUGCAUUUGAAACUGUCAGACUUGAGUACUAGAGGGAAAAGUGGAAUUCCCGGUGUAGAGGUGAAAUUCGUAGAUAUCGGGAGGAAUACCGGUGGCGAAGGCGACUUUCUGGCUAGAUACUGACGCUGAGGCGCGAAAGCGUGGGGAGCAAACAGGAUUAGAAACCCGGGUAGUCC